GUACUGCUGAGGAGUCCCAUAAUGGGGACGAAACGGCCGUCCGGUGC
rfam:Schistosoma mansoni strain Puerto Rico chromosome 1, complete genome